UCCUCGAUAGUCUAGUGGUGAGGAUAUCGGCUUGUCAUUACACGAUUCGCCGGGGACCGGGGUUCAAUUCCCCGUCGAGGAG
rfam:Colletotrichum gloeosporioides Cg-14 contig02541, whole genome shotgun sequence.